rnacentral:rRNA from 1 species
GACGAACGCUGGCGGCGUGCCUAAUACAUGCAAGUCGAACGAACUCUGGUAUUGAUUGGUGCUUGCAUCAUGAUUUACAUUUGAGUGAGUGGCGAACUGGUGAGUAACACGUGGGAAACCUGCCCAGAAGCGGGGGAUAACACCUGGAAACAGAUGCUAAUACCGCAUAACAACUUGGACCGCAUGGUCCGAGCUUGAAAGAUGGCUUCGGCUAUCACUUUUGGAUGGUCCCGCGGCGUAUUAGCUAGAUGGUGGGGUAACGGCUCACCAUGGCAAUGAUACGUAGCCGACCUGAGAGGGUAAUCGGCCACAUUGGGACUGAGACACGGCCCAAACUCCUACGGGAGGCAGCAGUAGGGAAUCUUCCACAAUGGACGAAAGUCUGAUGGAGCAACGCCGCGUGAGUGAAGAAGGGUUUCGGCUCGUAAAACUCUGUUGUUAAAGAAGAACAUAUCUGAGAGUAACUGUUCAGGUAUUGACGGUAUUUAACCAGAAAGCCACGGCUAACUACGUGCCAGCAGCCGCGGUAAUACGUAGGUGGCAAGCGUUGUCCGGAUUUAUUGGGCGUAAAGCGAGCGCAGGCGGUUUUUAAGUCUGAUGUGAAAGCCUUCGGCUCAACCGAAGAAGUGCAUCGGAAACUGGGAAACUUGAGUGCAGAAGAGGACAGUGGAACUCCAUGUGUAGCGGUGAAAUGCGUAGAUAUAUGGAAGAACACCAGUGGCGAAGGCGGCUGUCUGGUCUGUAACUGACGCUGAGGCUCGAAAGUAUGGGUAGCAAACAGGAUUAGAUACCCUGGUAGUCCAUACCGUAAACGAUGAAUGCUAAGUGUUGGAGGGUUUCCGCCCUUCAGUGCUGCAGCUAACGCAUUAAGCAUUCCGCCUGGGGAGUACGGCCGCAAGGCUGAAACUCAAAGGAAUUGACGGGGGCCCGCACAAGCGGUGGAGCAUGUGGUUUAAUUCGAAGCUACGCGAAGAACCUUACCAGGUCUUGACAUACUAUGCAAAUCUAAGAGAUUAGACGUUCCCUUCGGGGACAUGGAUACAGGUGGUGCAUGGUUGUCGUCAGCUCGUGUCGUGAGAUGUUGGGUUAAGUCCCGCAACGAGCGCAACCCUUAUUAUCAGUUGCCAGCAUUAAGUUGGGCACUCUGGUGAGACUGCCGGUGACAAACCGGAGGAAGGUGGGGAUGACGUCAAAUCAUCAUGCCCCUUAUGACCUGGGCUACACACGUGCUACAAUGGAUGGUACAACGAGUUGCGAACUCGCGAGAGUAAGCUAAUCUCUUAAAGCCAUUCUCAGUUCGGAUUGUAGGCUGCAACUCGCCUACAUGAAGUCGGAAUCGCUAGUAAUCGCGGAUCAGCAUGCCGCGGUGAAUACGUUCCCGGGCCUUGUACGCACCGCCCGUCACACCAUGAGAGUUUGUAACACCCAAAGUCGGUGGGGUAACCUUUUAGGAACCAGCCGCCUAAGGUGGGACAGAUGAUUAGGGUGAAG